rnacentral:rRNA from 1 species
GACGAACGCUGGCGGCGUGCUUAACACAUGCAAGUCGAACGGAAAGGCCCUGCUUUUGUGGGCUGCUCGAGUGGCGAACGGGUGAGUAACACGUGAGUAACCUGCCCUUGACUUUGGGAUAACUUCAGGAAACUGGGGCUAAUACCGGAUAGGAUCUCCUGCUGCAUGGUGGGGGUUGGAUAGUUUCGGCGGUUGGGGAUGGAAUGGCGGCUUAUCAGCUUGUUGGUGGGGUAGUGGCUUAGCAAGGCCUUGACGGGUAGCCGGCCUGAGAGGGUGACCGGCCACAUUACGACUGAGAUACGGCCCAGACUCCUACGGGAGGCAGCGGUGGAGAGUAUUGCACAGUGGGCGGGAGGCUGAUGCAGCAACGCCGCGUGCGGGAUGACGGCCUUCGGGUUGUAAACCGCUUUCGCCUGUGACGAAGCGUGAGUGACGGUAAUGGGUGAAGAAGCACCGGCUAACUACGUG